rfam:Equus caballus chromosome 29, whole genome shotgun sequence.
UUUUUAGUAUAAGUAUGUCCCAUGAAAUGUUUGGGAAAUACUUAUACUAAAA